rnacentral:rRNA from 1 species
GACUACUGGGGUAUCUAAUCCUGUUUGCUCCCCACGCUUUCGCACCUCAGCGUCAGUAUUGGCCCAGGUCGCCGCCUUCGCCACUGGUGUUCCUCCCGAUAUCUACGAAUUUCACCUCUACACCGGGAAUUCCGCGACCCUCUUCCAUACUCAAGCCUCUCAGUUUCGAAAGCACUUCCUGGGUUGAGCCCAGGGCUUUCACUUCCGACUUAAGAGACCGCCUACGCGCGCUUUACGCCCAAUGAUUCCGAGCAACGUUUGCACCCUCCGUAUUACCGCGGCUGCUGGCACGGAGUUAGCCGGUGCUUGCUAAGGAGGUACCGUCAAUUCAGGCCGGUAUUAGCGUCCUGCUUUUCGUCCCUCCCCACAGAGCUUUACGACCCGAAGGCCUUCAUCACUCACGCGGCAUGGCUGGAUCAGGCUUUCGCCCAUUGUCCAAUAUUCCCCACUGCAGCCGCCCGUAGG